UAACUACCGUGCCAGCAGCCGCGGUAAUACGGAGGGUGCGAGCGUUAAUCGGAAUUACUGGGCGUAAAGACGCAUGCAGGCGGCCUGUUAAGUCAGAUGUGAAAGACCCGGGGCGUUAACCUCGGAAUUGCAUUUGAAACUAGGCAGGCUAGAGUCUUGUAGAGGGGGGUAGGAAUUUCAGGUGUAGCGGUGAAAUGCGUAGAGAUCUGAAGGAAUACCAGUGGCGAAGGCGGCCCCCUGGACAAAGACUGACGCUCAGAUGCGAAAGCGUGGGGAGCAAACAGGAUUAGAUACCCUGGUAG
rnacentral:rRNA from 1 species